rnacentral:rRNA from 1 species
UACGGGGGGGGCAAGCGUUGUUCGGAAUUACUGGGCGUAAAGGGCUCGUAGGCGGCCAACUAAGUCAGACGUGAAAUCCCUCGGCUUAACCGGGGAACUGCGUCUGAUACUGGAUGGCUAGAGGUUGGGAGAGGGAUGCGGAAUUCCAGGUGUAGCGGUGAAAUGCGUAGAUAUCUGGAGGAAUACCGGUGGCGAAGGCGGCAUCCUGGACCGGCAUUGACGCUGAGGAGCGAAAGCCAGGGGAGCAAACGGG